rnacentral:rRNA from 1 species
AUGGAAAAUGGAAUCAACUUAAAUAGAUUAUUCGCUUCUAUAUAUUGUCAAAAAAAAGAAACAUUUAGUUUCUUUUUCUUCUAUUUUAGAGGUUAUACCUACCAUGGUUCUAAUAGUUCUUGCGUUUUCCUCAUUAAAAAUUCACCAUCAUCAUCUACCUUACUCAUAAAAUCAUCUAUAUCCAUUAAAUUUGGUUCAGUUUUAGUGCCCUUGGUAUUAUCUUUGGUUGAAACUUUGUUCCAAGGUUUGUCAAAAUUUUUUAUGAAUGUUGCUAUUCUUGCAUCGUUAUAUCUAAGUAUAUAUUUUUUAUUUUUCUGA